CCACCACCACUAGCACUAGCACUACUAUGACCACCACUAGCACCAUCUCCACCAUCAUCAUCACCAAUCUCAGCACUGUUGUUUAGGCAAGUCACCUGAACACCCCCCACAAUGCACCUGAGCUGACUGCCUAGGGGAGCCCCUGAACCACAGCCGAGGGGCACACACGUCACAAUCUAUUGCCCAUCUGAUGGCUACUCCAGUUCGCUUGGAUGUUGUGUGUGUGAAAUUGACAAUGCCCAGAACUGGGUAGUGCACACAAAAGCCUAGUCUGGCUGGAUUUCAGGGCAGGCCCAAGAGGCAUGAUGGGUUCUGUCCCCUACAACAAAGUUCUUCCCCACCUGGUGGCCCACCUUCAGUCUGGGACCCCACCUUUCAAACUCAAUUUCUUUUGUUUAAGAUCCAGUACCUCCCAGGGGUGGCACAUUGAUGUGAACUCUGGCCUUUGCCCUUCUGUGGGGACAAUUCCACCUGCUCUUUCCCAAGCAGGGACGGGAGAGCUGAUGGCCAUGGGACCCUCCAGGUCUCACCUCCUACGCCAUCUGACUUCAGCCUGUCACCCUGGUCAGAGUGGACGCUGGCUCCUGGCCCAAGCGAGGCUUUGGAAGGAGGCCCUUUCUGAGGGGAGCUGAGCAGAUCUAGCUAACAGCAGCGUGCCCUCCUGUGCACAGAAGACCUGCAGGGAAACAGGAUUCAAAGACCGCAGGUUUCUAAGUGCUCUUGGACGAUGGCUGUUAAACCUGAACUCAGGAGGAAGAUCUCUCUCCAGGGGACUGAGAAUUCCACCUUCCAGAGCCCAGGACAAUCGUCACCCCCAGCCCGGCCAUGGAGGGAGGGCCUUGCCCAGGAUGUUAAGGUCACCUUGGAACCGUUACUCUUUAUCACAACUCACUAAAGCCACCCCAGACUCUGCACCCAGCCCUGCUCUCGGCGGGCCCUGCAACCAGCCAACGGGCGGGAGACACAGAGAGGUGUGAGCGUCCCAGCGUGGGCGUCCUCCUGCCGCUGUCAGCCCCUGCCCAUCUGAGAAGUGUCUUCCACGUGUCGGUGAGGCCUCGGGUCCAUCUGAGCAAGGGAAGUGUCCCCCCUAAGUGCUUCUGAGUGCUCUGACACCACUCUGCGGCGUAGUAUUCCUGCCUUCCUUUUUUUCUUUUCUUUUUUGUUGUGAGAUUGUUUUCCCUGCUGCAGGGACACCAGGAGAUGGUGGAUGAAUAAUGCAUUCCUCCUUCCAAGUGCACAUGUGUUUUCUGAACACCUGGGAACAGGCUGUACCCACACAGAGAGGCCUGAGAAUAAGGGUCCUGGGGAGGGAACCUAUUGACUGGGAGAAGUAUUUGCAGUGAAGGGGUUUGCACUGAUCUGGAAGUCACUGGAGGCUGCUUGGGUUUGACUUUCUCUGGGUGAGCAUCGACUUUCAUUUUCUUCUCAUGAUAACCCCUGAGGACCCAGCCUCCCUUCUCAGUGAGCCGGCUCUUCUGCCCGUGCUUCAGGCCUAUCCCCUGUGUCCCUCUGCUCUGGGUUGAUUUCUUUCCCUGCCUCCCCCUUGGCUGAGUGGAAACUCCCUGACUGGUGGCCUGUCCCCACCCCUGCCAGGGCCAGCGACGUGGUGGAGACUAAGUUCCUGCACCUACUGAGACUCCCUUUGCACCCAGCCCCGGAGACCACAGAAGAACGCUCUGUCUCCUUGCUGGCCAUGGGCCAGGGCAUGGGGCACAGUCACAGCAGCCCAGCAGAGAGGAGCCAGCUCUGUGGCAGGGCUCAGCACACAGACUGCAGCAGGAGAACCAGGAGGCGUGGGGCCCCCUCGACAGGUCCCCUCCACCAGGAGCUGCCGUGGUUAGGACCUGGGAGGUGCCCUACUGACCGUGUGUUGGUGGGCGUGGCCCCGGCUUGUGGUGUUACUGGGAGGUGUGGGAAAGGUAGCUGAAGGAAGUAGGUCACCCGGGUGUGUCCUUGCGGGGUGCUGGGGCCCUGACCCUCCCCUGGCUUGUGUCUCCUGCCUGCCACCAGGUGAGCCGCUCUGUUCCGGCACACACUCCCUCAGGACGUUGGACCUCAUCCCAAGUCCAGAAAUGACCAAGGCAAGUGACCCCUGCUGAGGCUGCAGUGGGCCUCAGCCUGUCCUGUGAGCCGGUUCCCCAGGUGUCGGCGCCGCAAUGGACAGCGGCUGACAGGCGCUGGGGACAAGAUGGCCGGGGAGCCAGGCGAGGAAAGGGGGAGGCAGAAUACUGGACCCCUAGAGAGGCACGCUCUGAGAGUCAGAGAGCUGGUGGCCCCCUCUGGGCUCUCCUUCAGCAAGCCACCUGACCUCUGGGCCUUGGUGGAAGAAGACCUCAUGCUUCCUGGUCAGGAAGAGCUUCUUCCAAGGAGACUCCUUCCCAGCAAGAUGUAUACAGACCCACGCGUGGCCCGCAGCUUCCCCAGGACAAAGGACGGCCCUGGCCCCCUUCCCAUCCUUUGUUGCUCAUUGAUCAAAAGAAACAAAAUCCUCCUCAACCAAA